GUGGGGUUAGAUUGCUCACGCUGAUGUUUGUCACGUCACUAUCAGCCUAAUUACUUGCCAAUCCCCCUGAUUAGCAGCCGCUGCCGUAACACCUUUAAAAAACCUGGAAGUACCGGUGAGUGACUGCGCUGUAAUUCUUGCUCCCCCUCCGUUGAGAAUGUUCCCUCUCUAGCGUGGUAGGUCUCUUUUCUUAGCGAGUUGUGUUGGCUUUCCACACUUUAUGUUUUAUUGGCUUACCUUUUGUCUUGUAGCCUCGUAACUGCUGUUUACCUCCUCCACCACUCCUGUUGAGGGUAUUCCUAUUUCCUGUCAGCUCAGUGCGGAUCUGUGACCUCACCGUAUCUGGAGCGGGUGCGUGUAGCCUUGUUGACUGGAAGGCCGGACUUCACAGGCGCUGCUGUUUUGUCUGAUUGAUUGCUGUCUAGUGUUUGUCUCUUUGUCUUGUUUGUAACUUGUGACUAUUUCGUGAGUUUAUUUUGUUUGUUUGUUCCGUCUUUUGUCCAGUCGCGUAUUGUUAGUGUCUGCGUCUGCUUUCGUAGACUGUCUUUAUUUUGGGUUUUCUUUUGGUUUUGUUGGUGAAGCUGCCUAAUUAUAACAUCUACUGCAUGAAGCUGCCUAAUUAUAACACCUACUGCAUGUUGCCAGUGUUUCCCGUGCGCUGUGGCAUGAUACGUAUCUCCCUCAGUUUUGUUUGCAUGUGAUUGUGUAUGCUGUAGCUUUGCAUGAUUUAAGCUUUGUCAGUGUCAGUGUUAGUGUUGCUGUCAUCAGUGUAUUGUGGUUGUGUCCUCUUUGGUUUAUUUACUGCUAUCCUCUGGUGCCUUAAUUGUUUUGUCUGUUUGUUUGUUUGUUUGGCAGGUCGGGGCGCUCCUAAGGGGAGGCUAGGCACCUGGUGGUGGGACCCUAUCACUGCAUGUUUGCUGUGCUUUAUUGGGCUGUGCCGUGCUGUGUGUUGCUGUGCUGUGCUGUGCUAUGCGGUGAGCUGUGCGGUUCAGUGUACUGCUUACCGUAGUCUGCCUUAUAGAGAAACUCACCUCACUCUGAGUGUGUGUACACGUGUGUUUGGUGUGAAUCUUGGAACACCAUCAUCCGUAGCGUGCCUCCCUUGGGUAAGCUCCCGCCUAGCUGCAUUUAUUGAAUUCUGUGGACGUUUUGUCUCCAAUGCCUAGACUCCAAUGUAUGAUCCCUAAGAUCAACUUUUAAGA